rnacentral:misc_RNA from 1 species
UCACCGGAAAGCAUGGGCUUGAAGUUGAAACCGAUAAAAACACGAAUACAUGUGGAAGUUUGAAGAAUAUGGAUGACUGGCAAGAGUGCUUUUUUUUUUUUAAUCCAUUUUUUUGUAUGUUUUUUGAUUGGUUGGCAAAGAUAAUGGGUGGAUUGGUAGAAGAUUGUAGAUAAGAGUAAAAAAAGAGGAAAAAAAUACAGGGGAAAAUAUUAGAAAGAAAGCAGAGGUCGCCAUUCUUUGAUUUGUAAUCAUAAGUGUUAGUUGAGGUUGAGAGGGAUUCAGUUGUAAAUC